rnacentral:rRNA from 1 species
CCCUUAGACGUUCUGGGCCGCACGCGCGCUACACUGACUGGUGCAACAAGUGUCUGACCUUGGCUCGAGAGGCCUGGGCAACCUUUGAACGCCAGUCGUGCUGGGGAUAGAUUCUUGCAAUUAUUAAUCUUCAACGAGGAAUUCCUAGUAAACGCAAGUCAUCAGCUUGCAUUGAUUACGUCCCUGCCCUUUGUACACACCGCCCGUCGCACCUACCGAUUGAAUGGUCCGGUGAAAUCUCGGGACGGCGGCUUGGUCGCUUGCGUCCGACUGCUGAAACUUGAUUAAACCAUAUCAUUUAGAGGAAGGUGAAGUCGUAACA